AGUGCAGAAACGUCAAGUGUUUGUUUGGAUGACCCGAGGAGCAUCGUAUGCGACAUGGGGACGGACGGGUCAAAGAUCAGGUGAGGUAUUGACCGACCGGUGUCCAAGCUGCUUUGGUUGCUGUUGGCACGGGCCAGGCUGAGGCUGCGAUGGCUGGCGUUGCGAGACUGCGAAAAGGACGACGUGGAGUCGAUGGUGUUCCUCCGCCCGCCCAGCACGUUGGUCGGAUACAAGAACUGAGUGUACGACACCGUCUGCACGAGUUCCCAAAAAAAUGAUAAUUCAAAUAAGUGCUCAGUCUUCUGAAGGAUCCAAUGACUUUUUUUUCAUUCAAAUUCUCACCUUUCCAUCCGCCCCGAGCUCGACGCCCUCGAGGCCGAUGACCAUCUCUUUGGCGCUGACGCCCCCCGAUGGGUGGCGCUGCCGCCCCGACGCCUCCAUCUUCACGUCCCUGAUGAUGAGCACAAAACAUUUAUGGCCACUAUUUAUUUAUUUAUUUAACUGCCAGUCUUUGUUGGUGGCGUUCUCUUUACAGGUGGCUAAAGUGUCCCUCGGGAUGCCAAGGACUGAAAUUUCAGACGGCUGCAGGAGGUCAAUGGAAAGAAGGAAAACAACCACCAGCUCUCCGCUAUUAGACAUAAUUAAGACAAAAGGGUUAAAAAUACCUUUCGGGACAAGCAUGGAUGAAAACUUCUGAGGACUCCACUGCAGUGUUUGCAUGAACAUGGCUGCGUCCCACUUAUCUUUUGCCUCCCUUUCGGCUUGGGCUCAUGUUUUUAAAAGAUACAAGUGGCCUCAUGUGAUACUAGACUAAGGCGGAGGAGCAGGAGGAGGAGGGGUUAGAGUCCAAAAAGCAUUAUGCGUCUAUGAAGCGUCGACUAUCACAAUGCAGUUAAAAGAAGAUCGAGAACAAACAAGGAAAAGAGAGAGAGAAAGAGAGAGAGAGAGAGAGAGAGAUGGACGUUGCUUAUAACAUGCUCCACAUGGCGCCCGCUCCAUGCAACAUGCUUGCAUCUGUUGCACAACCGAGAUGGAGAAUAAUAAUAAAAAACAACAACACAUUCUGACCGCCUCAAAUGCUUUCUGAUAACCAUCGUCAACUUCACAUGCGUGAAAAGCGGCCCAAAAAAAAAAAAACAAGGCCAGAAGCAGGAUCGACAAGUU